rnacentral:tRNA from 1 species
UCUCUGGUGGCUCAGAUGGUAAAGAAUCUGCCUGCAAUGCAGGAGACCCAGGUUCAAUCCCUGGAUUGGGAA